CAAACAUAUCAAAACAUUGUCCACACUGGUGCUGUCAUCCGUGGACUGAACAGACUUGAGCCCUCGGCUCUUCCUCGACGUCUCUUCCGUUUCAUGAAUGGAAUGCAAAGUGGGCUGGAUAUAUACGAGAUGUACAAGUUGUGUCUUCUGUGACGUCAGCAGGCUAUUGAUAAACGCAUGACUUCUGCACUCAGAUCAGAGGAAGGCAGAAGGCAC